UGAAAUAAGGCUAAGGAAAGGAAUAGCAAAAGAUGAAAUAUUCUGGAACUAGACCAAGCUCCCCAAAUGGCACUAACACAGAUAAUUUAAGGCAGCGUACACAGGUCUCAGAGCACAGUUGAGCCCUGCAGCAUAAUUUAUUAAGAGAUGUGAGCGGUUGACUUCUGAGGCAAGGAAAUAGGAGCAAAUAAGGGACUUCUCUUACAAUCCCAUAGGACAUUUCUCUGGCAAGGAUCGUCACAAACGUGUGAAAUGUUUGCCCGGGGAAAACACACAGAAUGAAAUGUGAUGCCAGAGCUUACUGCUGUUUUGUCACAUGAGUGUUUUCGACUAAGAUAAGCCAACUUCCCAGAUUCCCAGAGAGGUAGGUAUUCAGCGGAAAUGACUUGGGUUUUGUACCUCUUAGAUACUUGGGACUCUUAUCAGUGACUGUUAGAAACUUUCUUUGCAGCCCGCUUUCUGUCUCCCAGGAUGAGCACACAUAUGUAAAAGUCAGACUUUGAGAGAAGCCGUUCUUUGUGCUUCAAGCAUCCAUGAAUGAAAAGGGCAGAGUGCCAGGGUAUGUCUUCAUUGCUCUGUGAGAUGUCAAGGAUUAUGCGUGAUCUUUUUGUCUUGCUUCUGGUGAUGGAUCAAGGGCGAAAGUUAGUGUUUGUCAAUAGCAGGAGCUAGUCCUGCAGCUAAAAUGUCACAGAAAGAAUGGUUUUUACCUUUAGAGAUUAUUUUAAACAAAAUGAGUUUUAAAAUGUUUACAGAUUUUAUUUGCCUUGUACUUUUAAAUAGAUUAUUUCUUCUGCUGCCGAAAGAAUCCCAGGAUGUAGCAGUGGAAAUAGAGAACUUCAACAGUAAACUUGGAUUGGGAAGUCCUAACCUGUAUCUUUUCUUUGUGGUAGUGUGUCCUGGCAUGCUGGGAGCUCACGUCUUCUGUAAACUGUUGGCAUCUAGGAGUGUGGAGCUUCGAUGAUCUCGGAGCUGGAUAUGGAUGAAGAACCUAGGGAGAGGGGACAGAAAAGGUGUCCCGACUUAAGAACAACCAAAGGGAAGUUCUUUCAGUCACUUGAGUAAAUAUCUCCAUUGAAGGAGUCCAAGAAAGAAGCUGACUGAAGGACAGUUGUCUCUGUUCAUGCAGUGGUCACAUGCUUUGGAGAUGAUUUGAAGUUGGUGAAACUGAGGCCCAGAGACAGAUACAAUUUUCCUAAGUCAUUGUGACUAUUCCAGCAGCACAUUGGCCAGACAAGCUCUUUAUACGUAAGGUCACAGUGCUGAUUUGUCCCUGCCCUUAAUCUGCCUGUUGGGAUUACAGUGAUUCUGGAAGAAUUACAGCACUUUUUAUGUGAUGCUGAUUUUCAGGGUUAAUUUAAUAAAAUUUUGUUCUCUAAUGUUUUGCAGCU
ensembl:lncRNA